GGUUCGAACGACUCUCAGGGACUGGCGUUUGCAUUAGGGACGGUGGGGUUGCGGAAAUUGUGGGAGGGUGGUAAAGUUAUCGUCAGUAGCCGUGUGACGCUUGCGGAGUACAUCUCCUACGUCGCGAGUUGACUGUUUAUUGGUACUUCCACGUGGUGUACGCAUUUUAACGCCAAUCCUUUGUGCGCGUGUCCGCGUAUCCAUGUGCAUUGUACAUCCGUCCGAUUAUUGUGCCUUUGGCUUAUGAUCACCUUUAUUCUCACUGCCAAUAUCAUCAAAAAACAAUAUACAAUACACAUAUACCGUCCUUAGAAAAGGAACAAAUAAACAAAUCUAACUUGAAGACUGACUUUUUCUACUGAAAAUAUCCUUGUAUUGAAAGAAGAUAAGCAAUAGAAAAGCAACUGAAUCAUAGCAGUUAUGAUUGUUAUUGCAAGAAUAGAACUACUUCAAUCAUUGCGGCAAAAUAAGUUUGUAGCUAACGAAUGCAGUAGCUACUCAACUCUCCAAUGACUCUGAAUUCCAUCCUCUAAAUUGGCUUAGUCCUCUCUGAAUGCUAAGGAAGAGUUGAAAAUGUGGAAGCUAUUGAACCGGUGAUGAACUGCAGUAAUGCUGUUGGCCCAGGGAGUUUCAAUACCAACGAUUGCUGGUAUUGUGGACGAAGAGGAGUACGCCAACAGUGAAGUUAAUAGUGGUCGAUAUGACGGCUAUGUAACUGAUCAUACUGAUCUUGGGUCAGAGAUUGAUAUUGAUGAAUCUGAAUAUAGACGCCAGCUAUUAAAUGAUAAAUGGCGAAUGUUAUUUGACAAAUUCGAUCCGGAGGGGUUUGGAGAAAUACCAAGGGAUGAUUUUCUGCAAGCUUUAACAAGUUCAGAAUGGAGAGCGGAGAUCCCAGUAAACAAGAGAGAUAUUCUUCUGGC